rnacentral:rRNA from 1 species
UACAGAGGGUGCAAGCGUUUAUUCGGAAUUAUUGGGCGUAAAGGGCGCGUAGGCGGCUUUGCAAGUGACGGGUGAAAUCCCUCGGCUUAACCGAGGAACUGCCUGUCAGACUGUAAGGCUUGAGACCGGGAGAGGUGAGUGGAAUUCCCAGUGUAGCGGUGAAAUGCGUAGAUAUUGGGAGGAACACCAGUGGCGAAGGCGGCUCACUGGACCGGUACUGACGCUGAGGCGCGAAAGCGUGAGGAGCAAACAGG